GCACCAAAGGGACGUCUCUAACAAGAAAAAAGUAUCGAACGCCCUUGCUGAACACGCCGAUAAUCGCAGUCACCGCAUCGAUUGGGAAAACGCGGCUAUAAUAGCUAAGGAAAAGAAUUCGAUGACGCGACUCUUGUUAGAAUCUUUAUUUAUUCAAACUACUGACAACAAUAUCAACAGGACUGAUGGAAAUCUUCCUGCUAACUACACCCGUUCCCUACGUCACAUUUUGGCAUAAAAACGACUUGCGGCUUUUGCCCGCUUUUAGUGUGAUCAAGGAACCCGUACGGGUCCCGAAACGUCUCUGUGUGUUUUUUCACCUUGACUUGAUGUGAUAUAUGCAAGAUUGCUCUAAAUGGGGAGUCCUAGCGGGGUUGACAUUGGAACAGAUGUACAACGGCUACCGUGCCUAUUCGAACCACUUCUCAAUAGGACUACGCCGACCCGGUGAAAAUAAGGCUGUUGUGCUGGGCUUUGCUGACUGUUGGAGUGGAAGGGGGUUCCUGAUCGUGACAGGUUCUACAGUGCCUUAGUGAGGCCAAAGGCGGAAAAUAUACUCACGAAAGACUGCAGGCGUCAUCAAACGACUAUGUAACGAUACAUAAAGGUAUCGCAAGUCAACCAAGAUAAAGAGCUGCCGAAAGAUUACCACAGGAGAAGCACUUGACGAUCUGAUGUAUCAUAUGAGUCGAAAGUUCUGCCAACUCUUGCGGUGCCAGGUGGCAUUCCAUUAUGGCAAGCGGAAGGGAAGGACAUGGAGAAAUGUUUUCUGGAGCACGUUGGCGCGGUCGCGCACUUGUGCGGUGUGACCACUGUACUGAAAUGUAAGAUACACAGCGUUAUACUAUAGAAAAUAUCGUGCACUAAUGAGUGUCGCCUAGAUCUGCUGCAGCAGUUCUACAAUGUGGGGCUUAUUUUACAUUCUGUGGUAUGGCUCAAACCAUUACUCUUCUAUGUGGCUUAUGCUUCACAUAAAUGACAUCAAUAUGGAUCUGAAAAA